AUUGAACGCUGGCGGCAGGCCUAACACAUGCAAGUCGAACGAGUGGCGGACGGGUUAGUUAUGUCUGGGACACUGCCUGAUGGAUGGGGAUCACUACUGGACACUGUUGCUAAUACCUCCUACCUUCACCUGUGCCCAGAUGGCAGUAGCUAGUUGUUGGGGUAACGGCGCACCAAGGCCACGAUCCCUAGCUGGUCUGAGAGGAUGACCAGUCACACUGGAACUGAGACACGGUCCAGACUCCUACGGGAGGCAGCAGUGGGGAAUAUUGCACAAUGGGCGCAAGCCUGAUGCAGCCAUGCCGCGUGGAUGAAGAAGGCCUUCGGGUUGUAAAGUACUUUCAGCGGGGAGGCGUUACCAGCAGAAGAAGCACCGGCUAACUCCGUGCCAGCCGCCGCGGUAAUAC
rnacentral:rRNA from 1 species